GAUGAACGCUGGCGGCGUGCCUAAUACAUGCAAGUCGAGCGAACAGAUAAGGAGCUUGCUCCUUUGAAGUUAGCGGCGGACGGGUGAGUAACACGUGGGUAACCUACCUAUAAGACUGGGAUAACUUCGGGAAACCGGAGCUAAUACCGGAUAACAUUUAGAACCGCAUGGUUCUAAAGUGAAAGAUGGUUUUGCUAUCACUUAUAGAUGGACCCGCGCCGUAUUAGCUAGUUGGUAAGGUAACGGCUUACCAAGGCGACGAUACGUAGCCGACCUGAGAGGGUGAUCGGCCACACUGGAACUGAGACACGGUCCAGACGCCUACGGGAGGCAGCAGUAGGGAAUCUUCCGCAAUGGGCGAAAGCCUGACGGAGCAACGCCGCGUGAGUGAUGAAGGGGUUCGGCUCGUAAAACUCUGUUAUGAGGGAAGAACAAAUGUGUAAGUAACUGUGCACAUCUUGACGGUACCGAAUCAGAAAGCCACGGCUAACUACGUG
rnacentral:rRNA from 1 species